AGGGUGAGGGAGGGGGUGGGAUGGGUGGGGGGUAACGGGGGAAACUGGGGAAGUGGGGAACCGAGGGGCAACCAGGGGAAGAUGGGGUGCUGGAGGAGAGCUUGUGGGAGCCAAGGAGCACCUUGGACAUCUGGAGUCUGGCAGGAGUGAUGACGGGUGGAGGGGCUAGCUCGAGGCAGGGCUGGUGGGGCCUGAGGCCAGUGAGGAGUGUGGAGUAGGCGCCCAGGCAUCGUGCAGACAGGGCGACAUCAGCUGGGGACGAUGGGCCUGAGCUAGGGCUGGAAAGAAGGGGGAGCCAGGCAUUCAUCCCGGUCACUUUUGGUUACAGGACGUGGCAGCUGGUUGGACGAGGGGAGCUGGUGGGCAGGGUUUGAUCCCAGGGCCUGGGCAACGGAGGUGUAGCUGGCAGCAGCGGGCAGGUGAGGACCCCAUCUGCCGGGCAGGUGAGUCCCUUCCCUCCCCAGGCCUCGCUUCCCCAGCCUUCUGAAAGAAGGAGGUUUAGGGGAUCGAGGGCUGGCGGGGAGAAGCAGACACCCUCCCAGCAGAGGGGCAGGAUGGGGGCAGGAGAGUUAGCAAAGGUGACAUCUUCUCGGGGGGAGCCGAGACUGCGCAAGGCUGGGGGGUUAUGGGCCCGUUCCAGGCAGAAAGAGCAAGAGGGCAGGGAGGGAGCACAGGGGUGGCCAGCGUAGGGUCCAGCACGUGGGGUGGUACCCCAGGCCUGGGUCAGACAGGGACAUGGCAGGGGACACAGGACAGAGGGGUCCCCAGCUGCCACCUCACCCACCGCAAUUCAUUUAGUAGCAGGCACAGGGGCAGCUCCGGCACGGCUUUCUCAGGCCUAUGCCGGAGCCUCGAGGGCUGGAGAGCGGGAAGACAGGCAGUGCUCGGGGAGUUGCAGCAGGACGUCACCAGGAGGGCGAAGCGGCCACGGGAGGGGGGCCCCGGGACAUUGCGCAGCAAGGAGGCUGCAGGGGCUCGGCCUGCGGGCGCCGGUCCCACGAGGCACUGCGGCCCAGGGUCUGGUGCGGAGAGGGCCCACAGUGGACUUGGUGACGCUGUAUGCCCUCACCGCUCAGCCCCUGGGGCUGGCUUGGCAGACAGUACAGCAUCCAGGGGAGUCAAGGGCAUGGGGCGAGACCAGACUAGGCGAGGCGGGCGGGGCGGAGUGAAUGAGCUCUCAGGAGGGAGGAUGGUGCAGGCAGGGGUGAGGAGCGCAGCGGGCGGCGAGCGGGAGGCACUGGCCUCCAGAGCCCGUGGCCAAGGCGGGCCUCGCGGGCGGCGACGGAGCCGGGAUCGGUGCCUCAGCGUUCGGGCUGGAGACGAGGCCAGGUCUCCAGCUGGGGUGGACGUGCCCACCAGCUGCCGAAGGCCAAGACGCCAGGUCCGGUGGACGUGACAAGCAGGACAUGACAUGGUCCGGUGUGACGGCGAGGACAGAGGAGGCGCGUCCGGCCUUCCUGAACACCUUAGGCUGGUGGGGCUGCGGCAAGAAGCGGGUCUGUUUCUUUACUUCCUCCACGGAGUCGGCACACUAUGGCUGCCCUCUGGGCUCCCAGAACCCACAACAUGAAAGGUGAAGCUAGAGGAACCAGACCUCAUCAGCCCAACAUCAAAGACACCAUCGGAACAGCAGCGCCCGCAGCACCCACCCCGCACCGGCGACUCCAUCUUCAUGGCCACCCCCUGCGGCGGACGGUUGACCACCAGCCACCACAUCAUCCCAGAGCUGAGCUCCUCCAGCGGGAUGACGCCGUCCCCACCACCUCCCUCUUCUUCUUUUUCAUCCUUCUGUCUCUUUGUUUCUGAGCUUUCCUGUCUUUCCUUUUUUCUGAGAGAUUCAAAGCCUCCACGACUCUGUUUCCCCCGUCCCUUCUGAAUUUAAUUUGCACUAAGUCAUUUGCACUGGUUGGAGUUGUGGAGACGGCCUUGAGUCUCAGUACGAGUGUGCGUGAGUGUGAGCCACCUUGGCAAGUGCCUGUGCAGGGCCCGGCCGCCCUCCAUCUGGGCCGGGUGACUGGGCGCCGGCUGUGUGCCCGAGGCCUCACCCUGCCCUCGCCUAGUCUGGAAGCUCCGACCGACAUCACGGAGCAGCCUUCAAGCAUUCCAUUACGCCCCAUCUCGCUCUGUGCCCCUCCCCACCAGGGCUUCAGCAGGAGCCCUGGACUCAUCAUCAAUAAACACUGUUACAGCAA
rnacentral:lncRNA from 1 species